AUUGAACGCUGGCGGCAUGCUUUACACAUGCAAGUCGAACGGUAACAGGCCGCAAGGUGCUGACGAGUGGCGAACGGGUGAGUAAUGCAUCGGAACGUGCCCAGUCGUGGGGGAUAACGCAGCGAAAGCUGUGCUAAUACCGCAUACGAUCUGUGGAUGAAAGCGGGGGACCUUCGGGCCUCGCGCGAUUGGAGCGGCCGAUGUCAGAUUAGGUAGUUGGUGGGGUAAAGGCUCACCAAGCCGACGAUCUGUAGCUGGUCUGAGAGGACGACCAGCCACACUGGGACUGAGACACGGGCCAGACUCCUACGGGAGGCAGCAGUGGGGAAUUUUGGACAAUGGGCGCAAGCCUGAUCCAGCAAUGCCGCGUGCAGGAAGAAGGCCUUCGGGUUGUAAACUGCUUUUGUACGGAGCGAAAAGGCUCCCUCUAAUACAGGGGGCUCAUGACGGUACCGUAAGAAUAAGCACCGGCUAACUACGUGCCAGCAGCCGCCGUAAGAC
rnacentral:rRNA from 1 species